UACAGAGGGCCCAAGCGUUGUUCGGAUUCAUUGGGCGUAAAGGGUGUGUAGGUGGCGCCGUAAGUCGGGUGUGAAAUCUCGGGGCUUAACUCCGAAACUGCAUUCGAUACUGCGGUGCUUGAGGACUGGAGAGGAGACUGGAAUUCAUGGUGUAGCAGUGAAAUGCGUAGAGAUCAUGAGGAAGACCAGUGGCGAAGGCGGGUCUCUGGACAGUUCCUGACACUGAGACACGAAGGCCAGGGGAGCAAACGGG
rnacentral:rRNA from 1 species